GACGAACGCUGGCGGCGUGCCUAACACAUGCAAGUCGAGCGAAUGAAGUUCCUUCGGGAAUGGAUUUAGCGGCGGACGGGUGAGUAACACGUGGGCAACCUGCCUCAUAGAGGGGAAUAGCCUUCCGAAAGGGAGAUUAAUACCGCAUAAGAUUGUAGCACCGCAUGAUACAGCAAUUAAAGGAGCAAUCCGCUAUGAGAUGGGCCCGCGGCGCAUUAGCUAGUUGGUGAGGUAACGGCUCACCAAGGCGACGAUGCGUAGCCGACCUGAGAGGGUGAUCGGCCACAUUGGGACUGAGACACGGCCCAGACUCCUACGGGGGGCAGCAGUGGGGAAUAUUGCACAAUGGGGGAAACCCUGAUGCAGCAACGCCGCGUGAGUGAUGACGGCCUUCGGGUUGUAAAGCUCUGUCUUCAGGGACGAUAAUGACGGUACCUGAGGAGGAAGCCACGGCUAACUACGUGCCAGCAGCCGCGGUAAUAC
rnacentral:rRNA from 1 species